GACGAACGCUGGCGGCGUGCUUAACACAUGCAAGUCGAACGGAAAGGCCCUGCUUUUGUGGGGUGCUCGAGUGGCGAACGGGUGAGUAACACGUGAGCAACCUGCCCUUGACUUUGGGAUAACUUAAGGAAACUGGGGUUAAUACCGGAUAGGAGCUCACCUUGCAUGGUGGGGGUUGGAAAGUUUCGGCGGUUGGGGAUGGACUCGCGGCUUAUCAGCUUGUUGGUGGGGUAGUGGCUUACCAAGGCUUUGACGGGUCGCCGGCCUGUGUGGGUGACCGGCCACAUUGGGACUGAGAGACGGCCCAGACUCCUACGGGAGGCAGCAGUGGGGAAUAUUGCACAAUGGGCGGAAGCCUGAUGCAGCGACGCCGCGUGCGGGAUGACGGCCUUCGGGUUGUAAACCGCUUUCGCCUGUGACGAAGCGUGAGUGACGGUAAUGGGUAAAGAAGCACCGGCUAACUACGUG
rnacentral:rRNA from 1 species